UCUCCAGGGGAAAGAGCCACCCUCUCCUGCAGGGCCAGUCAGAGUGUUAGCAGCAACUUAGCCUGGUACCAGCAGAAACCUGGCCAGGCUCCCAGGCUCCUCAUCUAUGGUGCAUCCACCAGGGCCACUGGUAUCCCAGCCAGGUUCAGUGGCAGUGGGUCUGGGACAGAGUUCACUCUCACCAUCAGCAGCCUGCAGUCUGAAGAUUUUGCAGUUUAUUACUGUCAGCAGUAUAAUAACUGGACUGUGGAUCACCUUCGGCCAAGGGACACGACUGGAGAUUAAACG
rnacentral:lncRNA from 1 species